rnacentral:rRNA from 1 species
UAAGGAAUAUUGGUCAAUGGACGCAAGUCCGAACCAGCCAUGCCGCGUGAAGGAUGAAGGUCCUCUGGAUUGUAAACUUCUUUUAUCUGGGACGAAAACGGGAUUUUUAUCUCAAUUGACGGUACCAGAGGAAUAAGCACCGGCUAACUCCGUGCCAGCAGCCGCGGUAAUACGGAGGGUGCGAGCGUUAUCCGGAUUUACUGGGUUUAAAGGGUGCGUAGGUGGGCUUAUAAGUCAGUGGUGAAAUCUCCGAGCUUAACUUGGAAACUGCCGUUGAUACUAUAGGUCUUGAAUUAUCUGGAGGUAAGCGGAAUAUGUCAUGUAGCGGUGAAAUGCUUAGAUAUGACAUAGAACACCAAUUGCGAAGGCAGCUUACUAUAUAUAAAUUGACGCUGAGGCACGAAAGCGUGGGGAUCAAACA